rnacentral:rRNA from 1 species
GAUGAACGCUGGCGGCGUGCCUAAUACAUGCAAGUCGAGCGAAAACACGCCGACCUUGCCUCUCUGACGUCAACGGCGGACGGGUGAGAAACACACGGACCACCUACCUAUAAGUCUGGCAUCACUUCGGGAACUCGGACCUCAUAUCGGCUAAUAUAUUGAACGGCAUGGCUCACUACUAAAAGUCGCCUCUGCCCUCACUAACAGCUGGUUUCGCGCCGCAUUAGCUAGUUGGUAAGGUAACGGCUUACCAAGGCAACGAUGCGUAGCCGACCUGAGAGGGUGAUCGGCCACACUGGAACUGAGACACGGUCCAGACUCCUACGGGAGGCAGCAGUAGGGAAUCUUCCGCAAUGGGCGAAAGCCUGACGGAGCAACGCCGCGUGAGUGAUGAAGGUCUUCGGAUCGUAAAACUCUGUUAUUAGGGAAGAACAAAUGUGUAAGUAACUAUGCACGUCUUGACGGUACCUAAUCAGAAAGCCACGGCUAACUACGUG